GUGAGAAUCCCGUAUGUGACCGGUGACCAACCCCAUGUGAAACUCCUUCGACGAGUCGAGUUGUUUGGGAAUGCAGCUCAAAAUGGGUGGUAUAUUUCAUCUAAAGCUAAAUACCGGCCAGAGACCGAUAGCGCACAAGUAGAGUGAUCGAAAGAUGAAAAGCACUUUGGAAAGAGAGUCAAAAAGUACGUGAAAUUGUUGAAAGGGAAGCGCUCGCAACCAGACCUGCCCGCGGCCGAUCAACCGUCCUUCUGGGCGGUGCACUCGGUCGCGAUCAGGCCAGCAUCGGUUCGGGCGGCCGGAUAAAGGCCCCGGGAACGUAGCUCCUUUCGGGGAGUGUUAUAGCCCGGGGUGCAAUGCGGCCAGCCUGGACCGAGGACCGCGCUUCGGCUAGGAUGCUGGCGUAAUGGUUGUGAGCGGCCCGUCUUGAAACACGGACCAAGGAGUCUAACAUCUAUGCGAGUGUUUGGGUGUCAAACCCAUGCGCGUAAUGAAAGUGAACGGAGGUGGGAACCCUUGCGGGCGCACCAUCGACCGAUCCAGAUGUCUUCGGAUGGAUUUGAGUACGAGCAUAGCUGUUGGGACCCGAAAGAUGGUGAACUAUGCCAGAAUAGGGUGAAGCCAGAGGAAACUCUGGUGGAGGCUCGCAGCGGUUCUGACGUGCAAAUCGAUCGUCAAAUUUUGGCAUAGGGGCGAAAGACUAAUCGAACCAUU
rnacentral:rRNA from 1 species